AGGGAAUAUUGCGCAAUGGAGGAAACUCUGACGCAGCGACGCCGCGUGAGCGAUGAAGGUUUUCGGAUCGUAAAGCUCUGUCCUUGGGGAAGAAGGUCUUCGGACUUGACGGUACCCAAGAAGAAAGCCCCGGCUAACUACGUGCCAGCAGCCGCGGUAAUACGUAGGGGGCAAGCGUUGUCCGGAAUUAUUGGGCGUAAAGGGUGCGUAGGCGGCCUUUUAAGUCAGAUGUGAAAGCCCGCGGCUUAACUGCGGGAGUGCAUUUGAAACUGGGAGGCUUGAGUAUCGGAGAGGGUAGUGGAAUUCCCAGUGUAGCGGUGAAAUGCGUAGAUAUUGGGAGGAACACCAGUGGCGAAGGCGACUGCCUGGACGAAAACUGACGCUGAGGCACGAAAGCUAGGGGAGCAAAC
rnacentral:rRNA from 1 species